rnacentral:lncRNA from 1 species
CUGGGAAAAACUUUUUGAAACGUUCACAUGAUGCCUGGUCAAAGAUGCACAAACAAACGGUGAAAUAUUUUGAAAGCCACAAGUGUGUCAAACAAACAACUUUCAUAAUAUGCAGACUUACAAAAUCUGAAUAAUAAACUGUGAAAAAAUGAGUCAGAACUGUAUGAAAUAAAUAGCACAGCCAUCACUCUUCAGUAAAUUCAGUGUGGCGCUAUAGCUGUCAAAAUAAAAGACUAAAAUAACAAAUGCACUGCAGCAUUAUGGGAUACUCUUCGCAGAUCUGUGAUAAGAUAUUCAAGGUAUUACUUGUUACAAAUUCUGUUGACUGGUUCUUACAGAAAGAGAAUCCUUAGUGUUUGUGUGUGUGUGAGAGAUCUGAUCUGGAUCGGGUCGGAGGCCUGCCGUGUUCCCAUGCUUCCCUGUAUUAUAAAUCAUCUCCAGAGACGCAUCCACUCUCUCCUGUUACAGUCCUGACGGAGCCGCGCCUGCUCUCACACUGCUGUGUCACUCACACAAAGGCAGAAACUUUCUCCUGUUUUCUCUCUACUAUAUUAUUACUCAUGAUAUUCUGGCCUAAUGAGGUCGCAGAGAAUGGAGAGAGAAAAAAAUGUCCCAGAGGUCAAAUACACACAGACACACUCAGACAGGUGCAGGUAUAUAAGUGCAGGUCAUCAGAACAUCAGAGAUUUUUUCUCACAAGCAAGAUGCUGCUUCACUGGAACAUGGACAUGAGGGGUAUCGUGGGGGUGUUGGUGUGUUUGUCUUUCGGAAAGUGUGCUUUAGUUCCUGAACUCCGUGCAACAGAGUUUGGGUUAAUGCCUCCUGAGAACCUUACGCAAGGACAAACGGGAUUUGCGGUGUCUGAUUUAUCCUAUUGUCAGAUGAUUCUGGAAGCUCCGGUUCCACCCACAGCAGACCAGGUACCCUGGUUCUGCAUCUGUUCUGCUUGCUCCGGAAACCGAGGCCAGAAAGGAGACAGAGGCGACCGCGGACUGCCAGGAGUUCCUGGUAGUUCAGGUCCAAGAGGCCUCAGUGGGCUUCCCGGCCGUCCAGGAUUCACAGGACGUCCCGGCAUUAAGGGUGAGACUCAACAAGUCUUGUAUGAUGCAUUUUACUUCAGUAUGAAUGUGUGCGUAUCAGUGUUGGGGAAGCUAGUUUGAAAUUGUAGCUUCCCAUGCUACAAGCUUCCUGCUUAUAGUAAAGAAAUUAAUGGUUUAAGUUUUGUUUUGGAUGCAUUUCCAAAAAGCAUUUUAAGCUUAAAGGGAUAGUUCAUCGAAAAAUUAAACGUUUCUUUUUUCUGUUAAACACAAGAAAAGAUGUUUUGAAGAAUGUUGUAACCAAACAGUUGCUUGUAGCCAUUGACUUCCAUAGUACUGAAUAAAAUACUAUGUAAGUCAAUGGCUGCCAGCAACUGUUUGGUUACCAACAUUCUUCAAAAUAUCUUUUGUCUACAACAGAAUAAAGAAACCUAUAUAGGUGGAGGGUGAGUAAAUGAUUACAGUUUUCACUUUUUGUCAUUUUUUACGGAUUACGUCAAAGUAACAGACAGGUGUGUUGAAGCAGGGUUGGAACUGAAAAAUGCAGGAAGAUAGCUCUCCAAAAGCAAGACCCUAAACUCUUAGUCUACACCCUGAAUUCUACAAUUGUAACCCAAACUCUUAACUUACUCCCAACCUUCUAAACCUAAACUUGACCUAUUCCCUAGACCUAUACCUAGCAUACCAAACUUCUAACUACACCCUAGACCUACACCCAACAUUGAUGUGAUGACAUGUUUGGAAGAGGUUUCCCUGCAAACGCUGCUAACAAUGGAACCGCUCCAACAUUCCCUGAGCAUGAUCUUCCCUGGUAACUUCCGUAAAGACCCAUAUGUAUACCUUACCCACUUACCCUAUACCUUAAACCCUUAACAAACCCCUACAUUCUAAACCACCACCUACAGCCCAGACAAGGGACAGCCAGUCAUGCUUAUGGAGGGCUACCAUCCUGCAGAUUUUAGCUCCAACCCUAUUCAAACACAACAGCUAAUCAAGUUGCUCAGGAUUACGUCAAAGUAACAGACAGGUGUGUUGAAGCAGGGUUAGAACUGAAGAAUGCAGGAAGGUAGCUCUCCAAAAGAAGGGCUGGAGACCCCUGGCCUUAGACCUAAACACUUAAUCUACACCCUGAAUUCUAAACCUAAAUUUGACCUAUUCCCUAGACAGAUACCCAACAUUCUAAACCUCCAACCAAAAUUUUAUCUACACCCUAGACUUACACCCAACAUUCUAUACCUAAACUCUACUCUAGGUCUACUCCCUAGACCUGCAACCUAAACUGAUAACCUUCACUCAAACUUUUAACUGCACCUUAGACCUUCACCCAACAUUCUAAUCCUAAAAAUUGACUUCCUAGACCUGCAUCCUAAUCUGUUAACCUACACUCAGCAUUCUAGACCUUCACCCAAACUUUUUACUACGCCCUAGACCUACACCCAGUAUUCUAAACCUAAACAUUAAUUGGCUUCCUAGACUAGCAUCUUGGGCCCUGUCUACACGGAGAAGCAGUUAGCUGUAUACGCAUACAUUUUGUAUCGUAUAGGCCAGUGGUCUCCAACCCUGCUCUUGGAGAGCUACAGUCCUACAGAUUUCAUCUCCAACCCUGCUCCUGGAGAGCUACCGUCCUACAGAUUUCAGCUCCAACCCCAAUCAAACACACCUGAACCAGUUAAUCAAGGUGUUCAGGGCUACUUGAUAAUUACAGACAGGUGUGUUGGAGCAGGGUUGGAACUGAAGUCUUCAGGACGGUAGCUCUCCAGGAGUAAGGUUGGAGAUCCCUGGUAUAGGCGUUUCAUCCACACGGAUCCGGCAUUUUGGGAGAGUGAAACCAAUAUUUUUUCGCAUAGUCCAAGUCUUCUUCUCUGUUUUUAGUGCAUCUCUGUGGCAGAAUUACAGUGCCACAUACUGCUCUGGCAUGUAUACUACAUCAUUUUGUGUCGGUUUCGUGUGGACGCAGAUAUUUCUUGAGAUGAGGGAAAAAAAAAAUAUUGAAUAGCGAAAGCUCUGGCUUCGUGUGGAUGUAGUCUUUAUUUGUUAACCUUCACCCAGACUUUUACUACGCCUUAGGCCUACACACAAUAUUCUAAAUCAACAUUUUUUCCUAAACUCCCUAAACGGUUAACCUACUCCCAACAUUCUAACCCUAAUCUUUUAUCAACUCCCUGGACCUGCACCCUAAUUUUAACCUACACCCAACAUUCUUAACUUUUACCCAAUUUUCUAACUACGCCCUGCACCCUAAACUCUUAACCAACCUCUAAAAUGAUCCACCUCUCAACCUCAACCCCUCUAUUGUUUCAAUAAUAUCCCAGAUUACAUGUAGAUUCUAUUUUAAGACAACUUUAUGUAGUUUGUAUGUAGAAGCAAACUUUCAGCUGAAAGCAGAGCCUUCUCUUUCUCAUGUUCGGAAUGAAUUAGUUCUCCAGGUGGAUAUGUGCGGUUUAUUUACAGUGCAUUAGCUGUUUUAUGACCCAACAAUACACAGCGAGGUGGAUCAGUCAGGAGGUUGCUACCUUGGCAGACAUGUUUUCAGCUGGAUGUUUGUUUGAAGAAUGAACAGGAAUGCACCAAUCAGCUGUUAAAUCAUCCUUCCAGCUAUUCAGUGGACACACACUGUGAAUAAGAGUGAAAAUGAGAAUGAGAACUGGAAAACUGGGUGGGCCGGUGCAUGUAUGUGCGUCUCAGGAUAAGUGAGCAGAGAGAAGUAUUUGAGAGGUACAAGAAAGAGAGGUGUUGUCUUACACAGUUGAAGUGUUAAACACCUGUUUGAGAGAGACUUUGGGCUUAUAUCUUUUGAGUAUGGAUUAUUCAGACACACAAUAUUAUGUUGGGAAACCUCUAAUGGUGUUGCCUGUAUGCGUCCGGGGAAGAGGGGGCCCACCCCUCCAAAAGUUGUCCUUGGUGCUGUGAAUUUUAGCAGUGACCAUGUAACAUUAUGACAACACAACACUUUCAUGCUCAUGUUCUGUGUAUUGAUUACCUUUAUAUUUCCAAUAAAUUGUAAACUACUAAUCCGACUCCUUGUUUUUAACUGUUUUUUUUUUUCACUUAGACUAUUCAAACAAUCUGAACAAAUCAGAUCAGACCAGGAUGCACAUUAAGCGGCAAAAGCCUUAGGAAGUGUUAAUGACCAAUGUAGAAAUUUUUAAUUGAAUAUUCCAUUUGAAAAUUUUCAAAUGCAACAGCUCUGUUCGAAA